UAAGUUCCGCAAGGAUUAAUAGAGAAACCGGUGCAAAUCCGGUACGAUUCCGUCGCUGUAAGGGGGAGCUUCAGACAGGAUGUCACUGUAUCGUCCGAUAUGGGAAGGCGUCUGAAGCGAAGAAGCCAAGUCAGAAGAACUGCUUGCAG
rnacentral:ncRNA from 1 species